GACGAACGUUGGCGGCGUGCUUAAUACAUGCAAGUCAACUGAAGCAGUGGUAGCAAUAUCGCUGUGGAGGUGGCGCACGGGUGAGUGACACGUAGGUAAUCUGCCUUCAGGUCUGGCAUAACUCCGGGAAACCGGGGCUAAUAGCAGAUGAUGCAGCGGCUCGACAUCGAGACAGUUGUUAAAGCUAUGGCGCCUGAAGAUGAGCCUGCGUCUGAUUAGCUAGUUGGCGGGGUAACGGCCCACCAAGGCAACGAUCAGUAGCUGGUCUGAGAGGAUGAUCAGCCACACUGGAACUGAGACACGGUCCAGACUCCUACGGGAGGCAGCAGUAAGGAAGAUUGCUCAAUGGGAGAAAUCCUGAAGCAGCAACGCCGCGUGAGGGACGAAGGGCUUUUGCUUGUAAACCUCUGUAGUGAGAGAAAAAAAUCCCAAUCUUUGGGACAUGAUGGUAUCUCAAAAGUAAGCCCCGGCUAACUACGU
rnacentral:rRNA from 1 species